rnacentral:lncRNA from 1 species
ACCGAACCUGCAACCUCAUGGUUCCUAGUCGGAUUCGUUAACCACUGCGCCACGACGGGAACUCCGAAUUCUGGAUACAGUAGCCUCAGUAUGACCCAUCUCCUUGAAUGGUACAGAACAGCUAAAUGUCAUGUGAAUUUGGAGCAAUAGGCUUAGGCAGAGAAAAUCCAUGAAUUAAGAUUGACAUUCCAAGGAGCUGUGGACGAUGGCCAGUCAUUAUACACAGUCCAGGACCUACAGAGACUUUCAAGCCCAGAAAGUGAAGAAGCAACUCCCAGGACCAGAGCUUCAGAGGGCUCCUGCACCACAGGAUGAAGAUCUUAAGGUGAAGUGCAGGGACUGUGGAGCCUCUGGACACAAAGCCAGUAGCGUCAGGUGCCGUGUGAAGUACUGACAAGGGGCCCUGGCCCCCCAGCCCUUGGGCUAUAAACUCAGGAAGGAAAAUCUAGAACCACAGAAGCUUCAGAUCCUACAGAUCCUGAGGACCUGUAACCCAGUUGAUAGAGGCAAGGAGCAGAGGCCACGGUGAGCUGUGGGGGAGGUGGGACUCAGUCCCUGUCUGCCUCCCCGGUGUCCUGUCAUUCCUAGGCGUGGUUGAGCACACAGCGUAGAAAAGGAGAGGAACAGACUGCACUGAGUUCAGCCCAAAGCCUAAGUCCUCAGGGGGCCACACUCAGGAGUUCCUAAUAUUCCUUGAGGUCACUCUAGUGGGGGUGGUGGAGAACAUAUGCAACUUUGCACAUGAGAGGAACCCAAGCCAGAGAGACAAAUAAGAGGAGUGUCCUGGGAAAACCUGGAUGUGUCCCUGGAUGUGGGGGAAGGAUGUGAGAUGAGGGAAGAGGGUUUGGCACCACAGCCUCCAAACUAGGAAAAGGCACAGCCUUGUCUGUUCCAACUAUUACAAGGAGAUUGGGAUCCCACCACUUAACGUGCUUUGUUCUGCAGGCAAGUGGGGCAUCAGCUGAAGUUACUCCAGAGACUUCCUGGGAGACCACAGGGGCAGCAGUGGUGCUGGAAGGAAGUGACGGAAUCCUGCGACUAUGUGAGGGUGAGUCCCCGGGUCCCGCUCUCUCCCCUGGGCAACCCUGGUUGGCCUCCCUCUCCUCCUGUGGGAGGGACAUUG